GCGGCUGUAGCUCAGCUGGAUAGAGCACUGGUCUACGAAACCAGGGGUCACAGGUUCGAAUCCUGUCAGCCGCGCCA
rnacentral:tRNA from 1 species